GCUCACUCCCCAGAAAAGAGCCUUGCUGUUCAUGCUCACCAACCCUUGGGCACCCAGCCUGGUGCUUUUCUCAGAGGAUCAGGGGAGUUUAGGAAGGAAAAAAUGUUAAAUGAGAAGACUAAAGAGAAGAGCCAAUACAAUUCCUUUGAGUAUCAGACAUGAGAUGAGAGACUAGAUUAACUGUAAGUGGCAUCAGACCUGGACCAACAGCUGUGAACAAGAAGAAAAUCUUCUCAAGUAACUGAGGUCUCUAACAAUGGAACACGAUAAGAGGGAGGCCAGCUCCUCGUUAGUGGAAGGGAGUAUUUGGCUAGACAGGAUGGCCCUGGAGAUUUCUUUCAAUUGCAAGAUAUUUUUGGAUGCUCUUUAGUGUUGAACUCCUGGAAAAGAAGUGUGGGACAGGAAAGAUGCCAAAUAGGAGGCUGGGAACAGAGAGAGGAAGAGGCAGGGCUGGGGAAGAGGCAGGUGACCUCAGACAUCUGUGGAGUGCAAGUCAAACUGCAAGAUACAAAAAGACAACAGCACACGCCCAAUUCAAAGAUCCGGUUUGACUGGACCAGAGAUAUCAGGAACUGGAUCAGCUAGAGAGAGAGAGAAAGAGAAAGAGAGAGGCCAUCUACAUGAGUUUCUGGGACUUCAG